GACGAACGCUGGCGGCGCGCCUAACACAUGCAAGUCGAGCGAUGAAAGUUGUUCAGAUCCUUCGGGUGACGAACUUCCGGAUUAGCGGCGAACGGGUGAGUAACGCGUGAGGAACCUGCCUCUCACAACGGGAUAGCCUCGGGAAACCGGGAUUAAUACCGUAUGACACUAUCAGAUGGCAUCAUCAGGUAGUUAAAGUGCUAGCGGUGAGAGAUGGCCUCGCGUCUGAUUAGUUAGUUGGUGGGGUAACGGCCUACCAAGACGACGAUCAGUAACCGGCCUGAGAGGGUGAACGGUCACAUUGGAACUGAGACACGGUCCAAACUCCUACGGGAGGCAGCAGUGGGGAAUCUUGCACAAUGGGGGAAACCCUGAUGCAGCGACGCCGCGUGAGCGAUGAAGGUUUUCGAAUCGUAAAGCUCUGUCCUAUGGGAAGAUAAUGACGGUACCAUAGGAGGAAGCCCCGGCUAACUACGUGCCAGCAGCCGCGGUAAUACGUAGGGGGCGAGCGUUGUCCGGAAUUACUGGGCGUAAAGGGUUCGCAGGCGGCAUGACAAGUCCGAUGUAAAAGGCGAAAGCUCAACUUUCGUAAGCAUCGGAAACUGUCAAGCUUGAGUGAAGGAGAGGCAAGUGGAAUUCCUAGUGUAGCGGUGGAAUGCGUAGAUAUUAGGAGGAAUACCGGUGGCGAAGGCGACUUGCUGGACUUCAACUGACGCUGAGGAACGAAAGCGUGGAUAGCAAACAGG
rnacentral:rRNA from 1 species